UCGUGGAUUGAUUUGUCUGGUUAAUUCCGAUAACGAACGAGACCUUUUCCUACUCGUUACUUGCUCAUGGGUUUAUCUCAUGGCACGCAAGUUCUUAGCGGGACUGCUGGCGUUUAGCCAGAGGAAGUUCGAGGCAAUAACA
rnacentral:rRNA from 1 species